GCUCCACACACUCCCCCCAUGGAAGCUGCACUGUCUGUCCUGGGAUGCCUCUUCCUCUGCAAGGUUUGAGCAGGAAAACAAACAGGCUUGGGCAGAACUACAGAGGCAGCUCCAGAGGGAAGCUCUGGGAUGAGGGAAUCAGUCUGUGAAAGGGAUAAAUACUGCUCAGAUGUCAGCAUGAAAGGAAAUGAGCACUUAAAACAUUAGAAAAAGCAGGAGAAAUUAAAAUCAGCAGUUGUCCGGCCUGGCGUGCAGGGAGCUCGGCCUGUCCCCACAGUAGUAAGGGCUGUGGCCCUCAGCCCCUCACAGCCCUGAGCCUGAGGCUCCGGCCUACGUCCAGCCCAGCCAACUCUCCCAAACCACAGCAAUAAGCCUCAGGACUGCCAGACUUGUGAAGGAGUUGCACUUAGGAAAGCUCUAGAGCCUAUACAGAGACAGGAAAAGAGCAAUGAAGAGGGAGGCUGGACCUUAACACCAUUUUUUUCUCUCAGCUAGUUUUAUGGGAAUUUAUUUACACCAACUUUCACCAGAGUAUAACAUAUUGGAUAACCUAAGAACAGAAUAAGGGCUGGAUUCAGUCUAAGAUCUGUCUAGCUGCUUCCUACCACUGAGUGAGUGCAAGGCUCGGAGUUUCUCAGGCUCUUGUGGAACUAAGGCUGAGGCAAACUGAGAGUGCAUCACUCCACAAAGUACAGCAUAGCAUGUGUGUGCCAGCAUCACCUUAAUGAACUUCAUUGCCACGCUGUGCCACAAAGCCCAGGAAAAUGUAGUCACUUUGGCUUGCCCAUGAAUGCCAUCCAUGUGUGUGAAUGGAAUUUCCCUACUCUAAGGUGCAAGAGCUGAACAGAAGAGAACAGAAUGAUAUUGGGUUGAAUGUCUACAUUCUCCUCUCAGACCUGCAUGAAAAAGGGACAAAACCUUUUACAGAGGUCUCAGCUCUGUAUUGAUCUGGAUUCUGAAGACUCCACUGAAGUAACUUUUAAGGCUGAAUGCUGUAUUUGAGAGACCACAAAGAAGAAACUGCAACAUAUCAGUGAAGGAAAAUGAGGAGCUGAAGAGAUAAGGAAUAUGUUACACAGACCAGGAAACUUCUGGCUGGGAUGUUGGAGAGGAUAUAAAGCUGGGAACCAAGAAGAAGGAGUUAAGUGACAUGGCCAAGGAUACUUGUGUGAAGACCGUGGUGAGGCAGACUUGGAAAUAAGCCUUUUAGCUCCCAGACAGGCUCCAAAUCUCAGCUGGAACUUGUACCCAAACCUGAAGCAACUCUAAACCUGAAUUUCCUGAAACUUCCAAACCUGAAUUUCUCUCUAAAUAACUGGCACAAAGAUUUGGCUGCAGCCUCCACCUGGAGGACCAAAGGGGUUAUCAGACUCUGUGAAGAUAUGACCAAGGCUACCAUGUGAAUUGGGGAUUUUGGGGCCAGCUUGUUCCACUCCUUUUAUGACUCUGAAAGAGUAACUUGGAUCCAGGGUCAGAAAACUUUAUAAGCACAUGCUCAGCUUCACUGGGAUAGAAGCCUGUGCUGGCAGAAGCAUGUGUUCAAGCACCGUCUUGAAAAAAUAUGGUUUCCUUUACCAGGGCUUUUAAUCCCUCCAUUCUCCAGUUCUCCAUCUGUUAAAAAGAAUUAACAGGUGGCAGAACGGAAAUGUUGUUAUCUGUCUUCUGUUAGCUCUUGAAAGCCUCUGACUCUUGAGUGUGUGGAGCCACAAUCUCAGUGAGCCCUCAGCCUCUCCUGAAGGACCCCCGUCAUACUAAUAUGAAAAAGAAUAAUUGAUGCAGUUGCUUGACAAGGAUACUAUGUGACACAGAGAUUCCCAGAGGAAGGAUUCUGAGCACUGGGGAGGUACUGCUGACCUUCCUAGAAGAAGCUGAAACAGUGCAGAGGACUCCAUAAAUUGCAUUGCAUUUCAGCACCACCACAAAUGCCAUAGCUUCAUUGUUCUCUUGGACCCUGAACAGGUAUUGAUGAUGUCAAGACCAGGCAGACCAAACUUUUCUUGGACAGCCUCAGAAAAGAGAGGAACAGAGGUGUCCUAAAGGUGACACCUAUUUCUGCCUAAUGCAACAUAUUCCCUUCAACAAAUACCAAAGAGCACCAACCUACAGAGGAUAAUUUCAUUCAGGUGAUGAUCUUAGGUUUGAGAAUAUUGAUCCAGAGCUUUGAGAAGCUGGCCAGGCACAGGAUGAUUAAAUAUAAUCCAGUCUGCAAAAUCUCAGGUUAUUUUCCUUUAUCAUUGAUAAAGCCAAGCCCAGAAACCAGUUACACAUCAACGCUACACCUAUUCUAGGCUCCCUGGCUUGCAAAAAACUCACACUACAAAGGAAAGCUCUUCAUUAAUUACUAUUACUAGAUUAUG